CCGUGACACAGUACAAGCUCAGUCCUCAGAUAUGCCUCUCUCAUUUUCUCGACUGGGAAAAUCCAUCCCCUUCUCCGGCCUUUUCAGGAAACUGGAGCAAGAGAUGGAAACUGUCAUAAGGGUUUUGCAACCUGGACCUUUGGGAAUUAUUGAACACAAGUUUUCUGCUGAGGAGAUGCGCUGGGCACAAUCCACUGUUCGGGAAGCAGUAAAUAAUUGGCGGAGGAAUUCAAGUAUUUUAAAAUAAAGCAAUAUUUCUAGUAAUCAUGUCUAGGAAAGAAACUGUUUUCAUAGUGAUAUUGAAAGACAUGUUUGUGUAAUUUCUUAAUGAAACUCUCAACAAAAAUUAGAAUAAAUAGUGACAUUCACUAAACUUGAAGUAAACUUGUACUAAAGAAUAUGAAAUUGAUAACGAUAAUGAACCUCCAGGGUGUUUGACA